rnacentral:rRNA from 1 species
GACGAACGCUGGCGGCGUGCUUAACACAUGCAAGUCGAACGGAAAGGCCCUGCUUUUGUGAGGUGCUCGAGUGGCGAACGGGUGAGUAACACGUGAGUAACCUGCCCUUGACUUUGGGAUAACUUCAGGAAACUGUGGCUAAUACCGGAUAGGAGCUCCUGCUGCAUGGUGGGGGUUGGAAAGUUUCGGCGGUUGGGGAUGGACUCGCGGCUUAUCAGCUUGUUGGUGGGGUAGUGGCUUACCAAGGCUUUGACGGGUAGCCGGCCUGAGAGGGUGACCGGCCACAUUGGGACUGAGAUACGGCCCAGACUGCUACGGGAGGCAGCAGUGGGGAAUAUUGCACAAUGGGCGGAAGCCUGAUGCAGCAACGCCGCGUGCGGGAUGACGGCCUUCGGGUUGUAAACCGCUUUCGCCUGUGACGAAGCGUGAGUGACGGUAAUGGGUAAAGAAGCACCGGCUAACUACGUG